GUGAGUAACACGUGGGAAACCUACCUCUUAGCAGGGGAUAACAUUUGGAAACAGAUGCUAAUACCGUAUAACAAUGACAACCGCAUGGUUGUUAUUUAAAAGAUGGUUCUGCUAUCACUAAGAGAUGGUCCCGCGGUGCAUUAGCUAGUUGGUAAGGUAAUGGCUUACCAAGGCGAUGAUGCAUAGCCGAGUUGAGAGACUGAUCGGCCACAAUGGGACUGAGACACGGCCCAUACUCCUACGGGAGGCAGCAGUAGGGAAUCUUCCACAAUGGGCGAAAGCCUGAUGGAGCAACGCCGCGUGUGUGAUGAAGGGUUUCGGCUCGUAAAACACUGUUGUAAGAGAAGAAUGACAUUGAGAGUAACUGUUCAAUGUGUGACGGUAUCUUACCAGAAAGGAACGGCUAAAUACGUGCCAGCAGCCGCGGUAAUACGUAUGUUCCAAGCGUUAUCCGGAUUUAUUGGGCGUAAAGCGAGCGCAGACGGUUAUUUAAGUCUGAAGUGAAAGCCCUCAGCUCAACUGAGGAAUUGCUUUGGAAACUGGAUGACUUGAGUGCAGUAGAGGAAAGUGGAACUCCAUGUGUAGCGGUGAAAUGCGUAGAUAUAUGGAAGAACACCAGUGGCGAAGGCGGCUUUCUGGACUGUAACUGACGUUGAGGCUCGAAAGUGUGGGUAGCAAACAGGAUUAGAUACCCUGGUAGUCCACACCGUAAACGAUGAGUGCUAGGUGUUUGAGGGUUUCCGCCCUUAAGUGCCGCAGCUAACGCAUUAAGCACUCCGCCUGGGGAGUACGACCGCAAGGUUGAAACUCAAAGGAAUUGACGGGGACCCGCACAAGCGGUGGAGCAUGUGGUUUAAUUCGAAGCAACGCGAAGAACCUUACCAGGUCUUGACAUCCCUUGACAACUCCAGAGAUGGAGCGUUCCCUUCGGGGACAAGGUGACAGGUGGUGCAUGGUUGUCGUCAGCUCGUGUCGUGAGAUGUUGGGUUAAGUCCCGCAACGAGCGCAACCCUUAUUACUAGUUGCCAGCAUUCAGUUGGGCACUCUAGUGAGACUGCCGGUGACAAACCGGAGGAAGGUGGGGAUGACGUCAAAUCAUCAUGCCCCUUAUGACCUGGGCUACACACGUGCUACAAUGGCGUAUACAACGAGUUGCCAACCCGCGAGGGUGAGCUAAUCUCUUAAAGUACGUCUCAGUUCGGAUUGUAGGCUGCAACUCGCCUACAUGAAGUCGGAAUCGCUAGUAAUCGCGGAUCAGCACGCCGCGGUGAAUACGUUCCCGGGUCUUGUACACACCGCCCGUCACACCAUGAGAGUUUGUAACACCCAAAGCCGGUGGGGAACCUUCGGGAGCCAGCCG
rnacentral:rRNA from 1 species